rfam:Felis catus isolate Cinnamon breed Abyssinian chromosome C1, whole genome shotgun sequence.
GCCUGGGUGGCUCAGUCGGUUGAGCGUCCGACUUCAGCUCGGGUCAUGAUCUCACAGUCUGUGAGUUCGAGCCCCGCGUCGGGCU